GUUUUUGUUCCCAAACUAGCACUCAAGGUCAAAAGUCAUAAAAAUAGCACUCAAGGGGUGGGGUUUAGGGUUUAGAAUUUAGGGUUUAGAGUUUAGGUUUUAGGGUUUAGAGUUGAGAAGUGAGGUUUUGGGGAUAAGAUUUCAAAUUUUGAAAGAUAAAAAAAAUUAAAUUUUUCAAAAGAUAAAAUGCUAUUUUGGUCAUCUUAGUUUUUGAGUGCUAUUUUUGUGAUAUAAACUUAGAAAUGUGCUAUUUUGGAGAUUUGCCCUUUAAACAAAGAAAACCGAAUUUCUGCAUAAGGAUUUCCUUCCGUUUUGCUCGAAUAUUAA
rnacentral:lncRNA from 1 species